rnacentral:rRNA from 1 species
CCUACGGGAGGCAGCAGUGGGGAAUAUUGCACAAUGGGCGAAAGCCUGAUGCAGCAACGCCGCGUGAGCGAUGAAGGCCUUCGGGUCGGAAAGCUCUGUCCUCAAGGAAGAUAAUGACGGUACUUGAAGAGGAAGCCCCGGCUAACUACGUGCCAGCAGCCGCGGUAAUACGUAGGGGGCUAGCGUUAUCCGGAAUUACUGGGCGAAAGGGGUGCGUAGGUGGUUUCUUAAGUAAGAGGUGAAUGGCUACGGCUCAACCGUAGUAAGCCUUUGAAACUGGGGAACUUGAGUGCAGGAGAGGAGAGUGGAAUUCCUAGUGUAGCGGUGAAAUGCGUAGAUAUUAGGAGGAACACCAGUUGCGAAGGCGGCUCUCUGGACUGUAACUGACACUGAGGCACGAAAGCGUGGGGAGCAAACAGGAUUAGAUACCCUUGUAGUC